ACAAAGCUUUCUUUGCUGCUUUGAGAACUGGUACCAGCCUCUCCAGAACUUCAUCUGAUCUGUGGUACUUCUUUAGGUCAAAGACAUCCAGGUCGUCACCAGAAACAAGCAGCACAAAAGCCAGAGCUGACCAAUGUGCAGGUGAGAUUUUACUGACAUCUCCUGAGCUCUGGUAUGUUUGGACUUGCUCUACCAGAGUCUGGUCACCCAACUCAUUUAAACAUUGGAACAGAUUGAUUGUCUUGUCAUAGUUGGACAAUUUCUUUAUCUUCUCAUGAAUAUACUCAAUUG